rnacentral:rRNA from 1 species
UGGGGAUUUUUUCCCCAAUGGGCGAAAACCCGGCGGGGCAACCCCCGCGGGGGGGACGGAAGGCCUCUGGCCCGUAAACCUCCUUUCUCAAGGACGAACCCUCCCCCGGUACUUGAGGAAUAAGCCCCGGCUAAUCCGUGCCAGCAGCCGCCGGUAAUACGGGAGUGGCAAGCGUUAUCCGGAAUUAUUGGGCGUAAAGCGUCCGCAGGCGGCUUUUCAAGUCUGCUGUUAAAGCGUGGAGCUUAACUCCAUCAUGGCAGUGGAAACUGAAAGGCUUGAGUAUGGUAGGGGCAGAGGGAAUUCCCGGUGUAGCGGUGAAAUGCGUAGAUAUCGGGAAGAACACCAGUGGCGAAGGCGCUCUGCUGGGCCAUUACUGACGCUCAUGGACGAAAGCCAGGGGAGCGAAAGGGAUUAGAUACCCCUGUAGUCA